CCUCUAUGGGUCCCAAUGGGUCCCAACGUGUCUCUAUGGGUCCCAAUGGGUCCCAAUGUGUCUCUAUGGGUCCCAACGUGUCUCUAUGGGUCCCAAUGUGUCUCUAUGGGUCUCUAUGGGUCCCAAUGUGUCUCUAUGUGUCUCUAUGGGUCCCAAUGGGUCCCAAUGUGUCUCUAUGUGUCUCUAUGGGUCCCAAUGGGUCUCUAUGGGUCCCAACGGGUCUCUAUGGGUCCCAAUGGGUCCCAGUGUGUCUCUAUGGGUCCCAAUGUGUCUCUAUGGCUCUCAAUGUGUCUCCAUGGGUCCCAAUGGAUCCCAAUGUGUCUCUAUGGGUCCCAAUGUGUCUCUA